rnacentral:pre_miRNA from 1 species
UUGUGCAGGAUGGAGAAGCAGGGUACGUGCAUUACUCGCUAGCAUCUAGUCUUCUUCACCUGGUAAACUGAUGGCCAGUUCUUCAUGUGCCCAUCUUCUCCAUCAUGCCCAU